UACAGAGGUCUCAAGCGUUGUUCGGAUUCAUUGGGCGUAAAGCGCACGUAGGCGGAUUGUUAAGUCAGGGGUGAAAUCCCGGAGCUCAACUCCGGAACUGCCUUUGAUACUGGCAAUCUUGAGGCUGGAAGAGGUUAGUGGAAUUCCCAGUGUAGAGGUGAAAUUCGUAGAUAUUGGGAAGAACACCAGUGGCGAAGGCGGCUAACUGGUCCAGAUCUGACGCUGAGGUGCGAAAGCGUGGGGAGCAAACAGG
rnacentral:rRNA from 1 species